CUUUCCUGUUAAAAAACUUUCCAGAUAGCCAAACAAGAACAAGCACUGUUGCCCAGAUGUCACUACCCAAGUCUGGAAUGGACUGUGGCUUGGCAUUCACCAGGACAUCCUUAGAGACAUUUAAGCAGGCAGCAAGAGCAUCAAUUGGCUGGAGGAAAUGAAUCUCUUAGCUGCAAGUCGAUGCAAGACAAGGGAGUUCUCUUGACUUGGAAGAAGCACAAACUUGACAGUGUUCUCAAUGUGUUUUGCUUCUCGACCCUCAUGAAGUGUUGCCUUUACGGUGGCAUGACCAAUUCCUUUGGCAUUGGAAUCAUUGUUUAGGUUCUUGAAUACCCCAUAAGCUAUCAGUCUUUCACCCUUGAAUACUGGUGGGAGCUUUGAUUGGACUUCUUGUAACUUCCAUCCAUCUGGUAAAGCCCAUGAAAGUGCCACAUUUGUCAGGGCAGGCUGUAGGGCUCUCUUCAGUGUCUUUAUAACCUAUAAACACAACUUAAAGUUAAAUAAUGGUGACAAGAUUUUGAGUGUCAAAAUGCAUCAUUGCAAAGUUGGACAUAAAGUCAAGGUGUGUAAUUCAGGGCACCUGUGCCUCUGAUGCCAAAAUGAGUCACUUUUGUUCAAGAAUCAACAAAAGGUGUUUCCAUUUACAAAA